rnacentral:rRNA from 1 species
UACGGAGGGUGCAAGCGUUAUCCGGAAUUACUGGGUUUAAAGGGUGCGUAGGCGGCUAUGUAAGUCAGGAGUGAAAGUUUGCGGCUCAACCGUAAAAUUGCUUUUGAUACUGCAUGGCUGGAAUUAGGAUGAGGUCAGCGGAAUGUGGCAUGUAGCGGUGAAAUGCAUAGAUAUGCCAUAGAACACCAAUUGCGAAGGCAGCUGGCUAGACCUGGAUUGACGCUGAGGCACGAAAGCGUGGGGAGCGAACAGG